GAUGAACGCUGGCGGCGUGCCUAAUACAUGCAAGUCGAGCGAACAGACGAGGAGCUUGCUCCUCUGACGUUAGCGGCGGACGGGUGAGUAACACGUGGAUAACCUACCUAUAAGACUGGGAUAACUUCGGGAAACCGGAGCUAAUACCGGCUCAUAUAUUGAACCGCAUGGUUCAAUAGUGAAAGACGGUUUUGCUGUCACUUAUAGAUGGAUCCGCGCCGCAUUAGCUAGUUGGUACGGUAACGGCUUACCAAGGCAACGAUGCGUAGCCGACCUGAGAGAGUGAUCGGCCACACUGGAACUUAGACACGGUCCAGACUCCUACGGGAGGCAGCAGUAGGGAAUCGUCCGCAGUGGGCGAAAGCCUGACGGAGCAACGCCGCGUGAGUGAUGAAGGUCUUCGGAUCGUAAAACUCUGUUAUUAGGGAAGAACAAAUGUGUAAGUAACUAUGCACGUCGUGACGGUACCUAAUCAGAAAGCCACGGCUAACUACGUG
rnacentral:rRNA from 1 species